CGGGCCGUAGUAUACCGGUAGUACGCUUCCUUCGGGAGGAAGUAGAGUGAGUUCGAUUCUCGCCGGCCCGA
rnacentral:tRNA from 1 species